GCCCGGAUAGCUCAGUCGGUAGAGCAUCACACUUUUAAUCUUUCCAAGUCCCUGAGGGUCCAAGUCCCUGUUUGGGCG